CCUACGGGUGGCUGCAGUGGGGAAUAUUGGGCAAUGGGCGCAAGCCUGACCCAGCAACGCCGCGUGCAGGAAGAAGGCUUUCGGGUUGUAAACUUCUUUUCUCAGGGACGAAGAAAGUGACGGUACAUGAGGAAUAAGCCACGGCUAACUACGUGCCAGGAGCCGCGGGAAUACGUAGGUGGCAAGCGUUAUCCCGAUUUACUGGGGGUAAAGGGCGUGUAGGCGGGACUGCAAGUCAGAUGUGAAAACCACGGGCUGAACCUGUGGCCUGCAUUUGAAACUGUAGUUCUUGAGUACGGGAGAGGCAGACGGAAUUCCUAGUGUAGCGGUGAAAUGCGUAGAUAUUAGGAAGAACACCAGUGGCGAAGGCGGCCUGCUGGACAGCAACUGACGCUGAGGCGCGAAAGCGUGGGGAGCAAACAGGAUUAGAUACCCUUGUAGUC
rnacentral:rRNA from 1 species